rnacentral:rRNA from 1 species
AUGUACAUGCCUACAAUAAAGAGUUAAUGCACCAGAUGCCAUUAGAACUCCACAGUUAAGCAUGUUCAGGCUAGAGUAGUACUAGGAUGGGCGACCUCUCAGGAAGUCCUAGCAUUUUACAUG